AUUGAACGCUGGCGGCAGGCCUAACACAUGCAAGUCGAACGAGUGGCGGACGGGUGAGUAAUGUAUGGGGAACUGCCCGAUGGAGGGGGAUAACUACUGGAAACGGUAGCUAAUACCGCAUACCAUCGGAUGAACCCAUAUGGGAUUAGCUAGUGGGUGGGGUAACGGCUCACCAAGGCGACGAUCGCUAGCUGGUCUGAGAGGAGGACCAGCCACACUGGGACUGAGACACGGCCCAGACUCCUACGGGAGGCAGCAGUGGGGAAUAUUGCACAAUGGGCGCAAGCCUGAUGCAGCCAUGCCGCGUGUAUGAAGAAGGCCUUAGGGUUGUAAAGUACUUUCAGCGGGGAGGCGUUACCCGCAGAAGAAGCACCGGCUAACUCCGUGCCAGCAGCCGCGGUAAUUC
rnacentral:rRNA from 1 species